rnacentral:tRNA from 1 species
UCCCUGAUAUCUCAGUUGGUAAAGAAUCUGCCUGCAAUGCAGGAGACACUGGUUCAGUUCCUGGGUUGGGAA